UACGUAGGGAGCAAGCGUUGUCCGGAAUCAUUGGGCGUAAAGCGCGCGUAGGCGGCCCGGUAAGUCCGUUGUGAAAGUCAAAGGCUCAACCUUUGAAAGCCGAUGGAUACUGCCGGGCUAGAGUCCGGAAGAGGCGAGUGGAAUUCCUGGUGUAGCGGUGAAAUGCGCAGAUAUCAGGAGGAACACCAAUGGCGAAGGCAGCACUCUGGGACGUGACUGACGCUGAGACGCGAAAGCGUGGGGAGCAAACAGG
rnacentral:rRNA from 1 species